rnacentral:lncRNA from 1 species
AAAUAGAGCCGUUAGACCACAUUAAAUGAGCAUUAAAAGCAUUUAAAACGGGUUAAAAACUAGCCGUUGCGGAAAAAUCCCGUCAUAGGGGUCGACUCAUGCUUGGGGGUCGACUCAUGGGUCGACCUUUGUGGAAAAACAUCAGAGAAUCAAACGGGAUGCAAGGUUCUGUAAAAUUAGCUUAAAAUCCGCAGAGGUCGACUCAUGGGUCGACUCAUGCCUUGGGGGUCGACUCAUAGGUCGACUCACAGGGUGUGCCAAGUAUGUGCCGGCCAGAAAUUUCAGCGUGCCAGUCAUCUCAUGUGCCAUG